rnacentral:rRNA from 1 species
UACGGAGGGUGCAAGCGUUGUUCGGAUUUAUUGGGCGUGAAGCGCGUGUAGGCGGUUUCUUAAGUCUGAUGUGAAAGCCCUGGGCUCAACCCAGGAAGUGCAUUGGAUACUGGGAGACUUGAAUACGGGAGAGGGUAGUGGAAUUCCUAGUGUAGGAGUGAAGUCCGUAGAUAUUAGGAGGAACACCGGUGGCGAAGGCGGCUACCUGGACCGAUAUUGACGCUGAGACGCGAAAGCGUGGGGAGCAAACGGG